GGAGAUUGAGAAAGUCGGGGUUGCAUUGUGUGGUGAUUUUAAUUCCAUAUUAUCGAUACAUAAUUCGAUAUUGGAUGGAUUAAUUAAUUAUUCAUGAACGUUCGCUUUCCUCCGAUGAAAUCGAAGAAAUUAUUUCUCGUGAUGAAAAGCGGAAUGAAUUGGGAGGGGGAAUUUUUAGAAAUAUAAUUUAUAAUUCUCCAAGGUUUGGAUAAUUAUGGAAAUAAACACGAGUGUCGUGGGAUGAGCCCAAAUUAGUCGCUGAAGCACUGACUUUAAGAGGUCAUCUAACGGCUUAAAACCGAAACUAUCGUACCCGACAUCCCAGGACAAGACAAUGGACACUGAAGUCGGUCCACGAUUCAGGUCGACAGUAAAAAUGAAAAGCGUCUUCUGGGGGAAAUUAAAACGCUGAAUGAUGAAUAAAAAUACGGGUAAUCCAUGAGAUAUCAAAGUGGAACAGUCCCUGCAGUGAAAUGAGGUGCUGAAAAUUUCCAUUUUCAAAUUUUUUUUAUGACAAAAUGAAAGCGAUUCCACUGACAUUACAAUUUCUAUUUGUUGAUAGAAUAAUUUCAAUAAUUCACAAGGCCUGCCCACACGGAAAAAUUUAUUGUUUAUCGAUAUAUAAAAAAAAUUGAGCUGGCCCCCAUCAAGUGUUUUGUCAAAAAUAUGAAAUGUACGUCUCAGAUAUUAAAAAAAAAUUAUUCCAACUACGUAAAUAGCAAUGUUUAACACUUAACUCUGUUGUUCUUGUUAUUGUAAAAAAUUUUGAAUUCCAAGACUCUCUGGAGUGUGAAAAGAUCAUCCAAAGAGG